UACGUAGGGGGCAAGCGUUGUCCGGAUUUAUUGGGCGUAAAGAGCUCGUAGGCGGCUUGUCACGUCGGGUGUGAAAGCCCGGGGCUUAACCCCGGGUCUGCAUUCGAUACGGGCUGGCUAGAGUGUGGUAGGGGAGAUCGGAAUUCCUGGUGUAGCGGUGAAAUGCGCAGAUAUCAGGAGGAACACCGGUGGCGAAGGCGGAUCUCUGGGCCAUUACUGACGCUGAGGAGCGAAAGCGUGGGGAGCGAACAGG
rnacentral:rRNA from 1 species